rnacentral:misc_RNA from 1 species
UUCAGAAUCCUGUUUGAUUAUAGCCUGCAAAACAAUAUAUUAUUGAUUUGCUAAUUCAUCAAGAAUUGCUACUCAGCUGCUGGUAAUUGAUUAAUAACAGGAGACCCAAAUCAAUUAUCUAUUGUUGGGCAUAAAUGGAGGGAAAAGGCAUAGAUAUGAAAGAAUUGGCCCAUUAUAGCUGUUUGUAGCGGGUGAAGUGUUGGAUAUUAACCAUGAACAGGUUAAAGAAAAACUAAUAAUUUAUUAACCGACAAUCAUCAUGGGAAGAAGUGCUAAUUGCCAUGUUUAGAGACAACUAUAUGGUCCCCAUUAUAUAUAUAUAAACAAACUGCUAGAACAAGUUUCUUCAUUAUAUCAGCAGAUCCGGAAACCCAAUUGCAAAUUAUGCAAUCAGCUAGAACAACUUUCUUCACUGAAACAUUAUUUCAUCGGUAGAUCUGAAAACUUUUGCAAAUCAAACACUUGUAUGACGUUUAAGGUUUUUUCUUUCCUUUUCUUCCACAUAUAAUUACCAAUACCGUUUUCCUGCCAUUAGUGUUGCCAAGAAAAUCCCCGGAAAAUAAAUGGAAACAAGUUUUCAAUGAUGUGUUAAAAGAAGUGUCCUAGUUAUCCCCACAAGAGAAAAACCUAACUUAAAGUCAAAUUUCUAAGGAAAUAAAUCAAGUCAAUUAUUCAUUUUCAAUUAAUUUAAAAGUUCAAUCAAAAUUCAUUCACAUUUCCCUUUCUGCACAAUUUCUCAGUCAAGAUCACAUAUAUGUUAAUAAACCCAGAAAUCAUAUAUAGAUAUUUAAUACUUUUUCUUUUCGAUUCUUAGAAUUUUCUCCCUUUUCUCUCUCUUUAAUUGGAAGCCAAACAUAAGCCAUUAGAAGAAUCACGUAAAAUUCAAGAAACCAAGAAUACUUGUACUCACAGUGCUUCUUCUCUGCUCAGCUG